GUGGCCACCUCACCUUGAAUGUGCUUGGUCUCUUCAGGGCUCAGAAGCUAAGCAUUGGGCAGCCUAGCUAGUACUUGGAUUGGAGACUUCUAUUAUAAAGGAUUGGCUGAUUACU
rnacentral:rRNA from 1 species